GAAGAAUCACUUCAGUUCAUUCAAACUGUGCUGUGAAACAAACCAUGAUCUCUUCAUCUUUAGUGCUGCUUCUGGCAGUGAUAUCCUGUAUUGAUUCAUAUGAACUCACUCAGCCUGAGUCUCUGACUGUCCGUCCUGAUGCCACUCUCACUAUCAACUGUAAAGUCUCCUAUUCAGUUACUGACUAUAGUACAGCCUGGAUUCGUCAGCCUGCAGGAAAAGCUCUGGAAGACACUUCCAGUAACACAAUAACACUGCAAGGAAAGAAUAUGCAAGCUGAAGACACAGCUGUGUAUUAUUGUGCCAAAUAAACACAGUGACAGACGCCAACAG